rnacentral:rRNA from 1 species
AACGAACGCUGGCGGCAUGCCUAACACAUGCAAGUCGAACGAGACCUUCGGGUCUAGUGGCGCACGGGUGCGUAACGCGUGGGAACCUGCCCUUAGGUUCGGAAUAACUCCCCGAAAGGGGUGCUAAUACCGGAUAAUGUCUUCGGACCAAAGAUUUAUCGCCUUUGGAUGGGCCCGCGUUGGAUUAGCUAGUUGGUAGGGUAAAAGCCUACCAAGGCGACGAUCCAUAGCUGGUCUGAGAGGAUGAUCAGCCACACUGGGACUGAGACACGGCCCAGACUCCUACGCGAGGCAGCAGUGGGGAAUAUUGGAAAAUGGGGGGAGGCAUGAAGGAGCAAUGACGCGUGAGUGAUGAAGGCCGUAGGGUAGUAAAGUUCAUUUACCCGGGAUGAUAAUGACGGUACCGGGAGAAUAAGCUCCGGCUAACUACGUG